UGAUGAUGAUGAUGAUGAUGAUGAUGAUGAUAAUGCCUAUGACAUAAAGAAAAAGCAUAAACAUUGGUGUAUCAUCAUCAUCAUCAGCAGCAGCA
rnacentral:sRNA from 1 species